CAAGAGUGAACCACCUGAUCCCUUCCCGAACUCAGAAGUGAAACCUCUUAGGGCUGAUGGUAGUGUGGGAUUCCCCAUGUGCGAGUAAGUCAUCGCCAGCU
rnacentral:rRNA from 1 species